AUGCUGCCUGCAGCCUUGCCUAGCCAUGCCCUCGCCAGAUCACCUCCGGCGACCGGCCUGGCCGCCCGCCAUGCACGCCGGCCAGCCGGCCGGCUUGCGACUAAUUCUUUUAGUCCUUUCAACUUUAAAGAUCGCUGCCUCUGCGGGGAUCUCCGUGCUAUUGAUGCAACACCAAUGAGAACAAAGUGGGCGAACAUUUUGUGA
rnacentral:rRNA from 1 species